UACGUAGGGGGCAAGCGUUAUCCGGAUUUACUGGGUGUAAAGGGAGCGUAGACGGCGAUGCAAGCCAGAUGUGAAAGCCCGGGGCUCAACCCCGGGACUGCCUUUGGAACUGUAUAGCUAGAGUGUCGGAGAGGCAGGCGGAAUUCCUAGUGUAGCGGUGAAAUGCGUAGAUAUUAGGAGGAACACCAGUGGCGAAGGCGGCCUGCUGGACGAUGACUGACGUUGAGGCUCGAAAGCGUGGGGAGCAAACAGG
rnacentral:rRNA from 1 species